GAGCUACAAUAAAUUUUGUUUAACACACUUAGUAAACACUUUGCUUUAACUAUGUAACAUUCAAAAGUCAAGCACUACAGCAAAGAAACUCAAUUUUAAUCUGGCAAAAUGUUUUCGGACGUAACCGUCCCUCCUCAGUACCAUUUACAUCAGAAACACAAUUAUUAUAGAAUAAAUUUCAAAUUAUUCUAAACCAUUAGAAGAAUUACAGUUCGUUUAAAUUUCAAAAAUUUCCAGUAUAGACUUCAUCUAAAAAGAAAAGUAUAUUGGAUACACAAGCGAAAUCUAGAAGACAGAGUGAAUGAAUAGCAAGAAAAAUAUAGAAAAGGAUAUAACUAGUAGUGCACUUGAUGUUAGAACAUUUGAAUACAAUGUAGAUGCUAAAUGGAAUGAAGUGAAAGUGGUGAAAUGCAUCAGGUGCAGAAACAAAGGGACUAUUGCAGAGUCAACUGAGAUAAUAAAACAUGUAAAAAUUGUUAUAUUGUCAAUAAUAAUGACCCAAGUUCUCUUUCUUACUCAGGGAAGUGAUCAGUAAAUAAUUUAUAAAAUAGGCUAAGCAAAGCUUCGUUGAGUUUUAGUUUCUCCAUAAUGCUUAUCAUGAUAAUGUCUGAUAGGAAUUAUAGUUUAAUGUUUAUUUUUUUUUAAUCUACCCC
rnacentral:lncRNA from 1 species